AAACCAUGAUGAGGACACUCUAAGAGAAGAUCUUUAAAACAUUCCAUACACCUAGAAAAUGAUUCAUUGGGUUUUUGAUGAAACUGGAGAAUGUUGUUCCUAAGUUU
rnacentral:snoRNA from 1 species